UCAGGAAGCGUCGAUAUUCAACCGUUUCCAAGCGAAUUUAUCCCGAUAAUCCCGUUCUAAAUCCGCUUCUAAUCCGAUUUGUAUCUUUCGCCAGGUAAAAUUCGACCGAGUCUGUCACGACUGCGUCCCGAUUCUACCGAAUGUAAUCCGACAAAGAUCAGAUAGUGACAAGACAGUGAACCGACGCUGACGGAAGUUAUCCGUUCGAAAACUGUCGGCAUACUCGGGAUGAUCAGGUACUGUCGGAACGUAAUCCUAUCACGGUCCGCUCUAUCGCAUUGCAAACGGCU
rnacentral:lncRNA from 1 species